UACCAGCACCCCGAGUGGUCGGGACGAUUAUUGGGCCUAAAGCAUCCGUAGCCGGUCAUGCAAGUCCUCCGUUAAAUCCACCUGCUUAACAGAUGGGCUGCGGAGGAUACUACAAGGCUAGGAGGCGGAAGAGGCAAGCGGUACUCAGUGGGUAGGGGUAAAAUCCGUUGAUCCAUUGAAGACCACCAGUGGCGAAGGCGGCUUGCCAGAAUGCGCUCGACGGUGAGGGAUGAAAGCUGGGGGAGCAAAGCCGG
rnacentral:rRNA from 1 species